GAUGAACGCUGGCGCCGUGCCUAAUACAUGCAAGUCGAGCGAACGGACGAGAAGCUUGCUUCUCUGAUGUUAGCGGCGGACGGGUGAGUAACACGUGGAUAACCUACCUAUAAGACUGGGAUAACUUCGGGAAACCGGAGCUAAUACCGGAUGAUAUUUUGAACCGCAUGGUUCAAAAGUGAAAGACGGUCUUGCUGUCACUUAUAGAUGGAUCCGCGCUGCAUUAGCUAGUUGGUAAGGUAACGGCUUACCAAGGCAACGAUGCAUAGCCGACCUGAGAGGGUGAUCGGCCACACUGGAACUGAGACACGGUCCAGACUCCUACGGGAGGCAGCAGUAGGGAAUCUUCCGCAAUGGGCGAAAGCCUGACGGAGCAACGCCGCGUGAGUGAUGAAGGUCUUCGGAUCGUAAAACUCUGUUAUUAGGGAAGAACAUAUGUGUAAGUAACUGUGCACAUCUUGACGGUACCUAAUCAGAAAGCCACGGCUAACUACGUG
rnacentral:rRNA from 1 species